rnacentral:rRNA from 1 species
UACGAAGGGGGCUAGCGUUGUUCGGAAUUACUGGGCGUAAAGGGCGCGCAGGCGGCCCUUCAAGUCAGAUGUGAAAGCCCCGGGCUCAACCCGGGAACGGCAUUUGAGACUGAAGGGCUUGAGUUCGGGAGAGGAGAGUGGAAUUCCCAGUGUAGGGGUGAAAUUCGUAGAUAUUGGGAAGAACACCGGUGGCGAAGGCGGCUCUCUGGACCGACACUGACGCUGAGGCGCGAAAGCGUGGGGAGCAAACAGG